CCACCACUUAUAGGCAGCCGGGGGCGGAGCUCGCGAGCGCGGGGGACGCCCCUCCCAGCAGGACACCAGGUCUGGGCCAGCAGCGCUCCGGGCCUCCCGGUGCUAGCUGCUCGGCCUGAAGUCACCCGGAGGGCGCGAACAACCGGCGCCUUUGCAGGGCCACCGCAGAAGAAACCCGAGAAGGGAUCGGGUAGCCCGCAUCGUGGCAGGGAGACCGUGCGUGGACCCCGAGGGGACAACCGUGGAGACGUUUCCUGAAAAGGGCCGAUUGGCAGAGUAAUCCUCCACAUUGAAACUCCAGCCAGCUUGCACCCUUGGAGCGCGGGCCUAAUGACACCUGCUAAUGAGGAGAACCACUCAGGAGCACGGGCCUUGUAUCUGGACUCUCUAUCAGAAGCCCCAAAGAAAACUUUUCCGUUCUCUCUCCUCACUCAGAGGUGGUGUGGCUAUGUCUGCUGAACCUGUACAAUGGGGUGGCGUAUCCCAAACGUCUUUUGAAGAAAACCUAAGG